UGAAGAAUCUCGGAUAUCCGACUUAAAGUUUGUUCAUUUCUCUCCUCAUGGUUCCUCAAUUCAGCCAAUGCUCGUCAAUGGUAAUUCAUGAAUUCCUAGUUAAUUGGAUAUGAUCACGAGGUGAUGAGAACUCUUUCAGUUCAUUUGAACGAUUCUACCUUAAGGAUGGACCAUUAAAAAACCUCUACCGCUUAAAGGGUUGGCUCCUUGAUUUAUUAUGUUUCUUCAAGUUAUCAAGGUGUAAGAAUGGAAAAAUUUUCCAGUUGCAAUCUCGUCUACCUAAUCGAUCCUCAUAGAGACUGGCAAUGAAAGAAACAUCGACAGUUUCAAACUAUUGUUGAUUUGAUGAUCAGCUCGUUGGGAUGAUUGCGCUGUAUUUUGGCAAAAUAAUUUACUUUAAUCUCAGUCUUCAGCUUGGAAAUGAGCGAAUGUGUACAAUUGAGUAAUUUGGCAUUCAGAUCUACAAGUGAUUCAUUUGUUUUUUUUGACUUGAAGUAAAGUUAAAUCUAAUUUCAAUUGCAGCAAUGACAUGAAUAAAGUACUAUUUAAAUGGUACCAUUCAAUUACUUUUAA